rnacentral:rRNA from 1 species
GAGUCAGACUAUGUGGGAUAAGCUUCAUAGUCGAAAGGGAAAGAGCCCAGACCAUCAGCUAAGGUCCCUAAAUACCGAUUAAGUGGUAAAGGAUGUGAAGUUACCCAAACAACUAGGAUGUUGGCUUAGAAGCAGCCAUACAUUUAAAGAGUGCGUAAUAGCUCACUAGUCGAGUGACCUUGCGCCGAAGAUUUCCGGGGCUAAAUCGGAUACCGAAGCUAUGGACUCAACAUGAGUGGUAGAGGAGCAUUGUGUAAUAGGUAGAAGCAGUAUCGAAAGGCGCUGUGGACGAAACACAAGAGAGAAUGCUGGCAUAAGUAGCGAGAAGGAGUGUGAGAAUCACUCCCGUCGAAAACCUAAGGGUUCCUGAGCAAGGCUCGUCCCCUCAGGGUAAGUCGGGACCUAAGGCGAGGCCGAAAGGCGUAGCCGAUGGACAAGUAGUAAAAAUUCUACUACUAUCAAUUAUCGUAUAAAUGAAGCGGGGACACAGAAGGAUAAGCUAAGCGUACCAGAUGGAAGAGUACGCUCAAAUAAAAAGGCAUGCCCAGAGUAAUAACCAGGCUAAGCCAAUUUAUGAUGAGGAUCGAAAAUAAGUAGAGAAGUAGCCGAUUUCACACUGUCAAGAAAAGCCGCUAAAUAGAUAAAAGAUACCCGUACCGUAAACCGACACAGGUAGGAAAGGAGAGAAUCCUAAGACGCGCGGAAGAACCUUUGUUAAGGAACUCGGCAAAAUGACCCCGUAAGUUAGCGAGAAGGGGAGCCAGAGCGAUCUGGCCGCAGUGAAUAGGCCCAAGCGACUGUUUACCAAAAACACAAGUUUCUGCUAAGUCGAAAGACGACGUAUAGGAGCUGACACCUGCCCGGUGCUGGAAGGUUAAGGGGAAAUGUUAGCAAUAGCGAAGCAUAGAACUUAAGCCCCAGUAAACGGCGGCCGUAACUAUAACGGUCCUAAGGUAGCGAAAUUCCUUGUCGGGUAAGUUCCGACCCGCACGAAAGGUGUAACGAUUUGGGCACUGUCUCAACAAAGGAUCCGGUGAAAUUGAAGUAAUGGUAAAGAUGCCAUUUACCCGCGACAGGACGGAAAGACCCCAUGGAGCUUUACUGUAGGCUGACAUUGGAUUUCGGUAGUACAUGUACAGAAUAGGUGGGAGGCAAAGAUCCUGGUACGCAAGUAUCAGAGGAGCCAACAAGUGGGAUACCACUCCUGUAGUGCUGGAAUUCUAACCUUGAGCCGUAAACCGGUUUAGGGACACUGUCAGUUGGGCAGUUUGACUGGGGCGGUCGCCUCCCAAAAAGUAACGGAGGCGUUCAAAGGUUCCCUCAGCACGGACGGAAAUCGUGCAAAGAGUACAAAGGCAGAAGGGAGCUUAACUGCGAGAUAAACAGAUCGAGCAGAUGAGAAAUCAGGACUUAGUGAUCCGGUGGUACCACGUGGAAGGGCCAUCGCUCAACGGAUAAAAGCUACCCUGGGGAUAACAGGCUUAUCUCCCCCAAGAGUUCAUAUCGACGGGGAGGUUUGGCACCUCGAUGUCGGCUCGUCUCAUCCUGGGGCUGAAGUAGGUCCCAAGGGUUGGGCUGUUCGCCCAUUAAAGAGGCACGCGAGCUGGGUUCAGAACGUCGCGAGACAGUUCGGUCCCUAUCCGUCGUGGGCGUAGGAAAUUUGAAAGGAGCUGUCCUUAGUACGAGAGGACCGGGAUGGACAAACCAAUGGUUUAUGAGUUGUAACGCCAGUUGCAUAGCUCAGUAGCUACGUUUGGAAAGGAUAAGAGCUGAAAGCAUCUAAGCACGAAGCCCCCCUUAAGAUAAGAUUUCCUUUAAGUAAGACACCUUGAAGACCACAAGGUAGAUAGGCAGUAAGUGUAAGAGUAGUAAUACUUUGAGCCUAACUGUACUAAUAUGUCGAAAACUUGAUCAA